AGCCCAAGACGCCUUGCUCAGCCACACCCUCAAGGGAAUUCAGCAGUAAUAAACAUUAAGCCAUAAGUGAAAACUUGACUUAGUUAGGGCUAAAAGGGUCGGUAAAAUUCGUGCCAGCCACCGCGGUUAUACGAAAGACCCUAGUUUAUAGGCACGGCGUAAAGGGUGGUUAGGGGACAGAUAAAAUAAAGCCAAAGACCCCCAAAGCCGUUAUACGCCCACGAGGGCACGAAGCCCAAGUACGAAAGUAGCUUUACCAAAUAAUACCCGACCCCACGAAAACUGGGAAACAAACUGGGAUUAGAUACCCCACUAUGCCCAGCCCUAAACCUUGAUGAAAAGUUACAAAAUCAUCCGCCAGGGAACUACGAGCACAGCUUAAAACCCAAAGGACUUGGCGGUGCCUCAGACCCACCUAGAGGAGCCUGUUCUAGAACCGAUAACCCCCGUUAAACCUCACCACCUCUUGUUUUCCCCGCCUAUAUACCGCCGUCGUCAGCUUACCCUGUGAAGGUCCAACAGUAAGCAAAACGGGCUCAGCCCAAAACGUCAGGUCGAGGUGUAGCGCACGAGAUGGGAAGAAAUGGGCUACAUUUUCUACCACAGAACACCACGAAUAGCGCCCUGAAACAUGACGCCUGAAGGAGGAUUUAGUAGUAAAAAGCAAAUAGAGUGUCCUUUUGAAUCAGGCUCUGAGGCGCGCACACACCGCCCGUCACUCUCCCC
rnacentral:rRNA from 1 species